rnacentral:rRNA from 1 species
GAUGAACGCUGGCGGCGUGCUUAACACAUGCAAGUCGAACGAAGCACUUUAUUUGAUUUCCUUCGGGACUGAUUAUUUUGUGACUGAGUGGCGGACGGGUGAGUAACGCGUGGGUAACCUGCCUUGUACAGGGGGAUAACAGUUGGAAACGGCUGCUAAUACCGCAUAAGCGCACGGCAUCGCAUUAUGCAGUUUGAAAAACUCCGGUGGUAUAAGAUGGACCCGCGUUGGAUUAUCUAGUUGGUGAGGUAACGGCCCACCAAGGCGACGAUCCAUAGCCGACCUGAGAGGGUGACCGGCCACAUUGGGACUGAGACACGGCCCAAACUCCUACGGGAGGCAGCAGUGGGGAAUAUUGCACAAUGGGCGAAAGCCUGAUGCAGCGACGCCGCGUGAGCGAAGAAGUAUUUCGGUAUGUAAAGCUCUAUCAGCAGGGAAGAUAAUGACGGUACCUGACGAAGAAGCACCGGCUAAAUACGUG